rnacentral:rRNA from 1 species
UACAGAGGUCUCAAGCGUUGUUCGGAUUCAUUGGGCGUAAAGGGCGCGUAGGCGGCCCUCCUAGUCGCGUGUGAAAGCCCCGGGCUUAACCUGGGAACUGCAUUGGUGACUGGCAGGCUUUGAGUGUGGCAGAGGGAGGUAGAAUUCCACGUGUAGCAGUGAAAUGCGUAGAGAUGUGGAGGAAUACCGAGUGGCGAAGGCAGCCUCCUGGGCCAACACUGACGCUCAUGCACGAAAGCGUGGGGAGCAAACAGG